rnacentral:rRNA from 1 species
UACAGAGGGUCCAAGCGUUGUCCGGAAUCACUGGGUGUAAAGGGUGCGUAGGCGGGCCGGUAAGUCAGAGGUGAAAGCCCGGGGCUCAACCCCGGAACUGCCUUUGAUACUGCCGGUCUUGAGUCCUGGAGAGGCUGCCGGAAUUCGUGGUGUAGCGGUGAAAUGCGUAGAUAUCACGAGGAACACCGGAUGCGUAGGCGGGCAGCUGGACAGGUACUGACGCUGAGGCACGAAAGCGUGGGGAG